UCAAGGUCAGCAUGGCCUUUAUGUCUGGGGCUACACACACGCUACAAUGGCCAGUACAAUAGGUUGCAAAGCCGCGAGGUGGAGCCAAUCCUUAAAGCUGGUCUCAGUUCGGAUUGCAGGCUGCAACUCGCCUGCAUGAAGUCGGAGUUGCUAGUAACCGCGCGUCAGCUAUAGUGCGGUCGAAUACGUUCCCGGGCCUU
rnacentral:rRNA from 1 species